AACCGACACAGGUGAUUAGGUAGAGAAUACUAAGGCGAUCGAGAGAAUCAUGGUUAAGGAACUCGGCAAAAUGCCCCCGUAACUUCGGGAGAAGGGGGACCUUGAGCGUGAUGGGCACUUGCUGCCUGGAGCGUGUAUGGGUCGCAGAGACCAGGGGGAAGCGACUGUUUAUCAAAAACACAGGUCCGUGCGAAGUCGUAAGACGAGGUAUACGGACUGACUCCUGCCCGGUGCUGGAAGGUUAAGAGGAUUGGUUAGCCUUUUGGGCGAAGCUGAGAAUUUAAGCCCCAGUAAACGGCGGUGGUAACUAUAACCAUCCUAAGGUAGCGAAAUUCCUUGUCGGGUAAGUUCCGACCUGCACGAAUGGAGUAACGACUUCCCUACUGUCUCAACCAUGAACUCGGCGAAAUUGCAGUACGAGUAAAGAUGCUCGUUUCGCGCAGCAGGACGGAAAGACCCCGUGACCUUUACUAUAGUUUGGUAUUGGUGUUUGGUUUGGCUUGUGUAGGAUAGGUGGGAGACUGUGAAGCAUGGACGCUAGUUUGUGUGGAGUCGUUGUUGAAAUACCACUCUGGUCAAUCUGGAUGUCUAACUUCGGGCCAUGAUCUGGUUCAGGGACAGUGCCUGAUGGGUAGUUUAACUGGGGCGGUUGCCUCCUAAAGUGUAACGGAGGCGCCCAAAGGUUCCCUCAGCCUGGUUGGCAAUCAGGUGUUGAGUGUAAGUGCACAAGGGAGCUUGACUGUGAGACUGGCAGGUCGAGCAGGGACGAAAGUCGGGACUAGUGAUCCGGCGGUACGUUGUGGAACGGCCGUCGCUCAACGGAUAAAAGGUACCUCGGGGAUAACAGGCUGAUCUUGCCCAAGAGUCCAUAUCGACGGCAUGGUUUGGCACCUCGAUGUCGGCUCGUCGCAUCCUGGGGCUGGAGUCGGUCCCAAGGGUUGGGCUGUUCGCCCAUUAAAGCGGUACGCGAGCUGGGUUCAGAACGUCGUGAGACAGUUCGGUCCCUAUCUGCCGUGGGCGUAAGAAGAUUGAGGAGAGUUGACCCUAGUACGAGAGGACCGGGUCGAACCAACCACUGGUGUACGAGUUGUCCUGCCAAGGGCACCGCUCGGUAGCUAUGUUGGGAUGUGAUAACUGCUGAAA
rnacentral:rRNA from 1 species